rnacentral:lncRNA from 1 species
UUCCCACAGGGACAUCAGCUUCCCACAUAAAGCGGAGCAGCUCGUCCAUACUCAGCGCUUCUUAGGACAUCUGAGCAUCUCAGUAUAGCUUCUCUUUCUGCCAGAGGCAGGUGUGGGUGCCGUAUACUUGUGCUAGAGCCUGUAGUUCCUGCCUGGCUUCUUACAGGGACUGAGGCUAGCUCUACCACUUCCUUGGAGAGCGGAAAGGGUCCAGUGCUACUUCCUGGAGCAGCGUUCUACCACUGAUGCCGAAACAGUGCCCUUAGGGUGUGCUGUGCUUUGUUUGUGGAACACGUUGACAGCCAGCAGAUGUCAGCCUAUGCGUCCUCAUGGUCAGGCCUGAAAAGGCUGGUGUCAGCUUUCAAUCUGCUGCCUCCUCCGGUCCCCUGACUUGCUCCUUCUGUGCUGUCCGCUGCAAAAUCAAGAGACUUGAGGUCAGUUAGAACAGAGUCCCUUGAACACGUUUUCCUGGAGAGGUGUGCUGACCUACUUCCUGAGAGAGAAGAAGGUGUUGUCACUGAGUGAGGAGGAACUCACACUGAGCGAGAGUGGUCUGGUGGGACCAGGCCAGCAGAAUGCCCCUCACCUCCCCAGCGAGAGGGGAAGCUACUGAAAGAUGGACAGUGCCGACUGUAGGGUCCACAUUCAUGCUCAGGGGCUUGGGACCAGAAAUACCAUGAGAACCGGCUUGUCUUUCUGGAAAGAGGGGCUGCCUGUUCCUGCUGUCUUCCUGGGCUUUAGAUGCUAGGCCCCCGAGAUGAGUCUUCCUGGUAAUCUGCUCCGUCCCACGGCUCCUGCCUUGCUCCUUACUCCCUGCACAAGGCUGGGAUGGGACUCGGGUGAUAUUAGCACUCUCAGAACCAGCUGUCUGGUCUGCAGUGUCUGUGUCUCUGUCUUCUGUCUGCCUGUCUGUCGUUAGUCCAUCUGUCUGUGUCAUGGUUAACCUCAGUCACCAGGGCCAUGUAUAAGGGAAGCUGGAGUAGUUAUGGGCAGAGGUUUAGGAGCCAACCCUGGUGGCAUAGUAUUUAUAGAAGGCCCCAGGAGGAGCAGGCAUCAGGCAGCUGUGUGGGAGGGGCCUGGAGAGACAGGUCCACGCAUGCAAGUGUAUGGGAAGCAGCCUCCUUGAUCACAGGUGUCCGAGGUUCUCGUCACCAUAUCCCUAGCUCUGAUGAGGAGGCAGAUCUUGGGUCCCACUCUCUCCAAAAGGAGCGUUCAAGGUCCCUUCUCCAGACUGCUCUUGCAGUGUGGGCUUUUACUCACUGAGUCAAGCAUGUAAGAUGGGUCUGUUGUGUUGUCAAGUUGUGUUUAGGUGUGGGGCAUGUAUUUUCAUAGAUGUGUGAAUUUCCCACCCUAUGAUAACAUUGUUCGCUGGCGUCUCCCACUACUGACAGCAGUGUGGGUAGUGUCCGGCUUGAGGCCUCGUGAGGAACACUGCCACACAAGUGUGCAUUCACCCGAUCUGACUCCCAACUGCUGUCUCCUGCCGUCAUUCCCACCAGUGAGGAGUGGGUGACCCCUCGUGCAUCUCUCAGUUGCAUCGGCUGCUGAGGAGGCCGGGCACUUUCAUAUGAUCACGGGCACCGCCUUGCUUUUGUGAAGGGUUUGUUUCUGCUGUUUCCCAUUUGUAGCUGAGAAGUCCACCUCUUCCCCAACCGCCCCACCCCCCGAUCGUGGGGAUACUGCUGUCUUCUGGAAGCUGGAAAUUAAGGAUAUAUUUAAAAACAGUCUUCCAAGGAGGCACGGGAAUGGCACCACAGGCUUAAGCUGCUUCCUCCUCCUGGCAGCAGGUCACUCCCUUCUAGGGAGCAUCUAUCCUGUGCGGCUCAGAGCCAUGCUGCCCUACAGGGCUUGACAUUAGUGUACUGCCGCUGUGCUCAAUGGAUCCCAGCGAUCACAGAACCCACCCUGAUUAAAAGGGCAAGGGUUGUCACUGGCACCUGCUAUUGUCUUUUCUUGGACACGUGACAAGGCAAAAGCCAGGAUGGAGGUGAGGGGAGGGGAGGCACUGACAGUCACGUGAGCACUCUUUCCCGCUGGAGCUGCACUCCACACCACACCCAAGAGGCAUCCACCCCGCACCUUAUUUUUUUCUCUUAUGAUAUGGGAUUUUAACUUGUUAAAAGAGGUUUUAUGGGCUAGAGAGAUGACUCAGUGGUUAAGAGCACUGACUGCUCUUCCAGAGGUCCUGAGUUCAAAUCCCAGCAACCACAUGGUGGCUCACAACCAUCUGUGAUGGGAUCUGAUGUCCUCUUCUGGUGUGUCUGAGGGGAGUGACAGUGAACUCACUAUAAUU